rnacentral:rRNA from 1 species
UACGAAGGGGGCUAGCGUUGUUCGGAAUCACUGGGCGUAAAGGGCGCGUAGGCGGCUUUAUAAGUCGGGGGUGAAAGCCUGUGGCUCAACCACAGAAUUGCCUUCGAUACUGUAGAGCUUGAGACCGGAAGAGGUAAGUGGAACUGCGAGUGUAGAGGUGAAAAUUCGUAGAUAUUCGCAAGAACACCAGUGGCGAAGGCGGCUUACUGGUCCGGUUCUGGCGCUGAGGCGCGAAAGCGUGGGGAGCAAACAGGGAUUA